rnacentral:tRNA from 3 species
GGGCCUAUAGCUCAGGGGUUAGAGCGCCCGCCUGAUAAGCGUGAGGUCAGUGGUUCGAAUCCACUUAGGCCCACCA